AUCAGUUCUCUUUUAUCCUCCCCCACCCCGAUGAUCCGAUCCUUCCCUUACCCUCCCCCUCAUUUUUCUACCAGCGAGUCCCAGACCCCCCCUCUCUGCCGCCAAGCCGCUGCUCGCUAUCGACUCCGACGUCUCCGGUCGCCGCUCACCGACAGGUUGAGCUGUUCUUGGAGAUCGUUUUGAGCACACUGAAGCAAUGUGGAAGAACGUGUUGGUUCUGGGUCUUACUCUUUUAGUUCUAUUUGGAGGUUUCUCAUUAGUUUAUACUACUACUGCAAGUGGGGGAGGUUAAAUUCCGUGAGUGUUUAUGAAAUGGUCGUGAUCACUCAAAGCAUUGAAAGCAACGACCAAAACAGCGAUUUCGGACAGUCCGAUAAUGAAGUUUGAGGGUGCGUAUACUGUGGAGACGGACGGCGUCCGGCGACGUAGGCGUUAAGAUAAAUGGGGGGUCUAAGAAUUAUCUUGAUCCUAUUUAUAGUCUUUGGUUACCAAUACUGCAACACUCAACAGUUAUUUAGAUCCUCUCGAGAUCCUAGAAUAGAGUGAGCAUCAUUAUUAGUUAUACUCUUUCGUUAUCAGUACCUCAACACUCAAUAGCUCAGUUAGAUCCUCUCGAAAUUCUUAGAGGUAGAGCCCUGAUGGCUGCUGGGUUUUGAGAAGUAGAAAUUAAUAUUUGGAGUUUGGAACAAAUAUAUGCUGCAAGUUAGACAUUUGGAUGGGAUGGGCUAUUUGUUUUGCAGAAAAGGGGAGGAAUGUUGUGUUUCUUUGGUUUUUUUAGUUGGAAGGACUCUUUCAGAGUUGGGUGGUGGGAGGGGAAGUCCAGUCCAAAGCCAAUCCAAGAGCACUUUGAAAAUCUAUCCUGAAAGGUUGACGUGAACGUUAGAUCUCUCUCUCUCACAUCUGGGUGUCCUUGCUUGUAUUAUAAUCCAAGCAAUGGCAGAGGUGCCAAAGGGCUUAUAUUCCAAGCUUCUUUGUGAGCAACUUUGUUCUUUGUUCUUUUCUAUAUUUUAUGAACGUACUCAUCACUAUUUGCUAUUUUCCUGAAAGGUAUGCACAUUUGUUGCCGCACAACUACAUACUUGAUGAUGAUUCUGAGGAGAAUUAGAAAUGUAGUUUGUUGGAAAGAAAUCUAAGGUCGUUGUAAAUUGGCAUACAUCGAUGAAGUUGGGAUGUAUAAUUUGGAGUU